UCUUUUUGGCGACGCCAUUGCAUGUGGGAUGAAAUAGAUUCCAUUGUCGAUUAAUUAAAUUUAUUUAAUCUGUGCAUGAUACGUGAUCGAAAGGUUCUACGUGACCGUGAAUUAACUUAAGCCUAAUUUAUGGGUGAAGAUUUAGAAUUACGUGUGGUGUGAUUUUUACAUUAUUUCUAUUGGCACAAUGGAAUCCUUAUAGUCUCGUUAGUCGUUUAUUAAUACCGCCCUAACAAAAAAUCUUUGCUCCUUAAAAAAUGCUUCAAAAAAGAUAUACAGCAUUGAUUUGUCACAUGAUAACGUAGAUCUUGGGAAAUGGAAAAUAGGUAAUCAAUAUAGAAAUAUUUAUCCGUGAAUAUCUUUUGUAUCAUCCAUUGAAUCAUCAGUCUUACGUAUAUACACGUAGCUACGAUACUGCGCGCCAACUAAUUGCCGGGAGUUUGAACCUAAAAGCGGUCUAUACACCUUCGUUUUACCUAACAACUCGCCCCUGCAUUUAACGCCUGAUGCCGUAAUGGAGAUAGUGUAUAAAUAGUGGAGACCUUCACCUUGUACUAAAUAGAAAUCGUGGGUUUAAAUUAUUAAAAAGGAACCUGCUGUCAAGAAUUAAAAUGCGUAACUUUUCAUGUCAAUAUUGAAAAAAUAUAUCAGUGAAACAAAAUUUUUAAGAAUAUUUAACACUGAUAAUUUUUACAAAAAACUUAUACUACCCUAUUUAGUACUGUACGACGCGGGAGACGUUUUAACGAGAACACUGAACAGCCACAAGUGCUAAUAGAAUUUAGUCAUGUUUUUUAUUAGUUUUGGUUUUAAAAUAAAACACAGCUGUCAUGUAAAUAUGAAUAUUUUUUAUUUUGAUAAAAACGUGGUCGGGUACCGACAUGAAGCAAUUAUAACUAAAAUUGCCCUGUUUUUUAAACUGUCGUACUAAAGACACCGUAGUUAAGCUUUUUCAUCACUGUAUUGGGAGAAAUUCGAUCUAGCUUGUGGACAACAAAAGACCCAAAUUCUAAAACAGCUAAAACUUUGCGAAAGCGAAAGACUCUGAUUUUUGUCUCAAAGGGCCUGCGGAGGAGAUUGAUCUAGAAAAAUACUGCAAGAAAAAAAUUGCAGGAAGGUACAAAUUUCAGCAGUGAUGCUUCAUGCCAUUGACAAUGAAUAAA